UGAUGCUGUGCUCUGACUACUAACCCGGCCCUACUAACCCGUUCUCUACUAACCCAGCCCUGCCGAGCUCUGGGC
ensembl:misc_RNA